GCCCGCUCAGAAACUCAAAGGAAUUGACGGGGGCCCGCACAAGCGGUGGAGCAUGUGGUUUAAUUCGAUGAUACGCGAGGAACCUUACCUGGGCUCAAAUGUAUGUUGACGUAUUCUGAAAGGGAUACUUCUUCGGACAAUAUACAAGGUGCUGCAUGGUUGUCGUCAGCUCGUGCCGUGAGGUGUCGGGUUAAGUCCCAUAACGAGCGCAACCCCUAUCAUUAGUUGCCAUCAGGUCAAGCUGGGGACUCUAAUGAAACUGCCUACGCAAGUAGUGAGGAAGGUGGGGAUGACGUCAAAUCAGCACGGCCCUUACGUCCAGGGCUACACACGUGCUACAAUGGCCGGUACAAAGGGCAGCUACCCCGCGAGGGGGCGCUAAUCCUAAAAGCUGGUCCCAGUUCGGAUCGGAGUCUGCAACCCGACUCCGUGAAGCUGGAUUCGCUAGUAAUCGCGCAUCAGCCACGGCGCGGUGAAUACGUUCCCGGGCCUU
rnacentral:rRNA from 1 species